GUUCCUGGCCAGCCCCUUGGCUUGUCAGCUUCAAGAAGAAGGCGGGGUUUGUAGUUUCAUGGAUGCUUUUUUUUUUUUAAUAAAGAAAACUUUAUUGACAUUCCACUUUACAGGCGCUCUCACGCUUUCCAAGUCGUUGGCGUUCCAAAAUAGGAAGCUGUUCUGGCCUCAAGUCGUUCAAUCAGGGCACUAGAGGAGGAAGUGAAGAAAGGAAGAGCUAAACCCGUAUUUUGCUCCUUCCUUUCUGAGAAAUUCUGCUUUAAUUGCUGUCCCCUUGACACAUUUGGUUCACUUAUAGAGUGAUGGAGUCCCAGAGAACCACCCUUUGUGCCUUUGAGAACUCACAGGUGAGGACACAGCAAGAAGACAGGCCUAUAAACCAGGAAGAUGGCCUCACCAAGAGUGUGACCAGGCUGGCAUCCUAUCUUAGGCUUCCAGACUUCUGAGCUGUGAGAAAUGAAUAUUUGUUGUUUAAGCCA